GACAGAGGGUGCAAACGUUGUUCGGAUUUACUGGGCGUAAAGCGCGUGUAGGCGGCCUUGCAAGUUGGAUGUGAAAGCCCACGGCUCAACCGUGGAAGCGCAUCCAAAACUGCAUCGCUCGAGUCUCGGAGAGGAAGGUGGAAUGCUUGGUGUAGAGGUGAAAUUCGUAGAUAUCAAGCAGAACACCUGCGGCGAAGGCGGCCUUCUGGACGAUGACUGACGCUGAGACGCGAAAGCGUUGGGAGCAAACAGG
rnacentral:rRNA from 1 species